ensembl:lncRNA
CGCAUCUGCCGCCGAGCCUUUGGUGGAAGUGUGGCCAAUUAGUCACACGUUUGGUGUUCUAAUUAGGCGAGGCUGGGACUUUGGAAAAUGUGCUGUUGAUUUAGGUACUUCCUCAAACAAUGCGAAAUUGUGUUAUGUGAAAUUCAAUUAGUCUUUUUCUAAACGUUUCCACAUCUGUUCUUCUUUAAGCCGAAAGUGAUGAGGAGAGAAAGAGAAGUGAAAAGCCAGAGUCUCCACUGGUGAAAUAUGUUAGGCCUCAGAGACCAGCCCUUUUCCAGCAUUUGACCCUGAACAGUGAUAUACAGGAAGGAACAAAGUUGGAGAGCUAUCAUGGUCCAUGGAAAUACCUUUUGGUGGUUUGAGUUUGCUCAUCCAGCACAUACUUUGGUUAUGACCCACAGUUCCCUGAUCUUGGCCAGAGAGCUCAGAUACCUGUUAAGUAUGCAUGCAAGCAAGAAAAAAUUUAUCUUUGGCAUGAAACUAUAUCUUGUUGUUCUGAAUUGUGUUUUUAGGAAAAAAAAUAUUUUAGUGUGGAAUACCUCAAUUCUGCCUUUGGAUUUUCAAAGUACUGUUCCUAUAGGACUUUGAAAAGAUAGCAAUUUCUCUCCAAUUCUCUCAGCCAGUUGGAUAGUUUUCUAUUAGACUUAAUCGUAAGUCUUUUGAGUAUUUUUCANNNNNNNNNNNNNNNNNNNNNNNNNNNNNNNNNNNNNNNNNNNNNNNNNNNNNNNNNNNNNNNNNNNNNNNNNNNNNNNNNNNNNNNNNNNNNNNNNNNCCAGUUGGAUAGUUUUCUAUUAGACUUAAUUGUAAGUCUUUUGAGUAUUUUUCAAGAUGAAAAUUGUAAUUAAUUCAUAGAAGUCUGAAUGCAGAUAUUUUAUUUGAAUAUUUUAUUAAAUGGGAAUUAUUUCAACACCAUUCUAGCAUGGUCUUCAUGUGACAAGGUGACUUCUUUUUAAAAAUUUAUUUAAUUUUGGCUGUGCUGAGUCUUCACUGAUGCACUUGAGCUUUCUCUAGUUGCAGUGAGAAAGACAGCUUCUUCUGUUGCAGAGCAACAACUCUAUAGUGCGAGGCCUUCAGUACUUGUGGCACAUGGGUUUAGUUGCUUCUUUUCACGAGGGAUCUUUCCAGACCGGGGAUUGAAUCCAUGUACCCUCCAUUGGCAGGCACAUUCUUAACCACUGGACCAUGAGGGAAGUCUGCAAGAUGUCUUCUAUAAUGACAAGAGCAAAUGCAAAAGUGAACGCUGGACAUUUGCUGGGCAACAGUUCCUAUUCAUAACAUUAGUUGUUGUCUUGAGAAACGGAGAUGAUACAUGCAGAGUUUGCUUUUCCCCACCAGACACAUCAAAUGAUUGACUCUGCAGCCAACACUUUAAAAAUGGUGUGUAAACACAUAAAUACAUAAAGAUGACUUAGUAUUUAAAAUAGAAGGAAACAUCAGUGGUUAUAGAUGACCAAGCAUAUUCGGAAGAGAAAAAUUAUAGAAUAACCUUAAGGCUCAAGGCUAAGUAAAAGCCUUGGAAUUCAGUAGUCAUUAUCUAUUGUGAAUAUAUUAUAGUAUAUUGAAUAUACUGUUGUCAGUGUAUUGAGCUGAAAACUAGGACUCAUCAGUCUGAUGAAUCACACUUACAUCUGAUGCUUAACUUCAAUAAACUACCUGAGAUCAUUUAAGAAACAGUAUGUGAGAUGGCCGAUAAUGAUUUCUGUAAGAUAUUGUGCUUCACUCCUUUAGAAAUAAGGAAUGAGCUGAGAAAUGGCAGGGGAAAAUUAACAUUUUAUUUCAAAUUUCUUAACAAUUGGGACAUUGGAAGAAGAAAAAUAAUGACUAGGAAAAUAUUUAUUGAUAAAACUAAGGAAUUUAAAAAACCAGUAUGAUUUUUUUUCUCAUCCUCUCUCCUUCCUCUUUCUCUUUCUUGUCCUUCACUUUAGAAUUCUGGAGCCAUCAGUAGAAAGAGUUUAGAAAAUAAAUCUCCUCAAGUGAAAAUAUUUACAAAUAAAACCUAGCCUAUCUGCCAACCAGCCUGAGGGCUUUGGCAAAACUCUGGGAUAGGUGUGGUAAUUUUCUUCCAUGUCAUGCAAACACAAGCAGAGGAGAGAAACUAACUUCUCCCUUACUGCGUUGUUUCAGAUCUUACCUUAUGACAGUAUUUCCCAUAUACAUUUUUGUUAAUAGUGUCAACUAUUAAUAGAUUCGUUUGUUUCCUUAGCAAUAAGGCUUUCCUUUAGCAAGUGUGAGUACCUCUCAAAUAAUACGAUAUUUAGAAUCGUCACAAUCCCAAAUAGAUAGAACACAGGCUCUGUGGGUUUGAAUCUGAGUUUGAAUCUGUUAAGAGCCUCAGCAGUUUUCCUAAUCUUUCUUAUCCUUUGUUUCUUGAUAUGUGAAAAAAUACAUUGUGUAUGGCAGUACCUCCCUAGAAGUGCCACAAGGAGCAAACGAUAGUGCCUGUAGAGUGGAUGUAUAGUGCC